ensembl:miRNA
UGAGGCAGGAGAAUUGCUUGAACCCAGGAAGUGGAGGCUGCAGUGAGCCGAGAUCGAGCCACUGUACUCCAGCCUGGGUGACACAGCGAGACUCCAGUCUCA